GGCGCCCGCCAGCGCUGGCUGAGGGAGAAACAGACUGAGAGGAUGGUUCCCGCCCAGGGUAGAGGCAGCCGCAAGCUGAGGACUGGGUCCGAAUUCCCUGGAGGGAGGCCAAGGCUCAGAGAAGAGACCUUGGCUAGUGAGUGGCAGAGGCUCCAGAAGUUGCUGCUAAAUUCCAUAUCUGCUGAUUCCUGCCUGGUGCUGUGUGAUUUUUAUACAAGUUUGAGCCUGGCAUUCGAAGCACUCUGGAGUCAGUCUCCAGCUUACUACCUACCGGAUCCUCAGAUCUCCAGGAUGAGGUGGUAAUAAUUCAUGGGGAUGAAGAACCCAGACUUUGUGGCAGACAGCCCUGGGUUCAAUCCCAGGCACUGUCACUUCACUAGCUGUGUGACCCCAGGCAAGUUCUGUAAACUCUCUGAGCUCGGGUUUCCUUAUCCCUAGUGACACUCACUUCAUAAGAUUGUGGGGGAAUCUCAUGAGAUACCACAUGUAAAGCUCUCAGCACCCAGCCUAGUUCCUUAGGCACUUAAGAAACAGCAGCUGUGGUUACAUCUCUGGCCUUAUCUCUAGUACACAGACCCCUUUACUCCAGUCUAUGCAUUUCACUGGACUUUCAUGGCCCAGCCUAUUUAUUUACUUAUUUAUUUAUUUUUGGCGCACCCACGGCAUAUUGAAGUUUCCUGGCAAGAGAUCAAACCCGCGCCACAGUGCCAAUGCAGGAUCCUUAAUUCACUGAGCCACGAGGGAGCUCCCAGUUAAUUUUUUUGAUAUUACUUUUUUAUUUUACUUUUUAUUUUACUUUUUUGAUAUUACUUUUUUAUUUUACUUUUUUUGAUAUUACUAUUUUAUUUUAUUCCUUAGCCAUUAAAAUCAUUCAAGCAUGUAUUUUUCUACAUAACUUAUUGCGAGCUGAUCAAUGAAUGUUAAAUAAAAUGUUAAUUUUCAUCAUUUGCUUCAAUGCAUGUCUUCUUGACCAAGUCUUCAUUUUUUAUUCCAUAAUAUUUUAUGCCUCACCUUUCAGGCAAUAAAGAAUUUUUAUUUUUUUUAAAUAAUUUUUUUUUUUUUUGGUAUUUUUAGGGCUGCACUUGUAGCAUAUGGAAGUUCAUAGGCUAGGGGUGGAAUCGGAGCUGUAGCUACCAGCCUAGCCAUAGCCAAAGCAAAGCCAGAUCCCAACCACAUUUGCAACAUACAUUGUUUGAGACCUACACCACAGCUUAUGGCAAUGCCGGAUCCUCAACCCACCGAAUGAGGCCGGGGAUCGAACCCGCGUCCUCUUGGAUACUAGUCAGGUUUGUUACCACUGAGCCACAAUGGGAACUCCAAUGAGGAAAUUUUAAACACCACAGCUAAGAACCUGAACAUUCAUCUGCAAGUACCCAUACGCUUCUUACAUGCAGUUGUGCUCUUAGUGGUUUUCUUACAGCCAUCUUUGAUGAUAAGUUUUGGGAAAACAUUUGUCAUGACAAUCUUCAUUCGCCUUCAACUUUAUAGGCUCUUUUGCACCUUGAAGAGCCUGGUGACAGGCCCCUAGGCACUGCUGCCCCAUCCAUACGGCUGACGGGUGCCUUCUUUCCUCAGCAGCCACACUGGAAAAAGCUUCAUGACCUAGUUUAAAUGUCACCUUCUCCAGGAAGCCUUCCCCGCCUGCCUCCCCUCUCAUGGUCAGAGUGCCUCUUUCCCUCUUGGGACCUUUCCUGUGUUCUACCUCAACAAACAAAGCUUUGUUUUCAUGUCAUGUUUAUCUGUUAGGUAAGUUCCAUCAAGGGACCAGGUGGUAUUUCUCCAUGCCCCUCAGCAUCCAGAGCCUGGCUUGGCAUGCAGAAGAUGGCUAACAAAUAUUGAUUAAAUGAUUCACUCAUCUUCCCAGCAAAAACUGGCAGAAAUGAAUUAGAUCUGAAGUCAGAGACUCAGCAGGCCCAGCUUCAAGCCCCACUCUCCACCCUUCCAGCUGAGCGCCCUUGGACAGGCUACUGCUCCACCUCUCAAUGUCCCGUUUCCUCAAUCAUCAAAUAUUGAUAAUGCUUCUGCUUGGCUAAUGUCACAGGACUUCAGGGAUAUUAUUAAAAUGAUGUUGGUGGAGUUCCUGUCGUGGCUCGGAGGUAACAAAUUCAACUAGUAUCCAUGGGGACUCAGGUUCCAUCCCUGGCCUUGCUCAGUGGGUUAAGGGUCCAGCAUUGCCAUGAGCUGUGGUGUAGGCUGCAGCUGUGGCUCGAAUCUCGUGUUGCUGUGGCUGUGGUGUAGGCUGGCAGCUGCAGCUCCAAUUCAGCCCCUAGGCUGGGAACCUCCAUAUGCCCUGGUCCAGCCCUAAAAAAAAAAAAAAAAAAAAAGAUGGAGAUGAUGACCAUUAAUAUUUCUGUAACCUACUAUGUGCCAAGCUCCUCUGAUCCUCAUGACACCCUCUGAAACGGGCACUAUUAUUAUCCCCAUUUUACAGAUGAGGGAACCUGGAAGGAAUUGUGGCAGAGCAGGUUUGGGAAAGGAGCAGGGCCCCAGGGCCAGGAAGGGAAAUGGGGGUGGCAGGGUGGGGCUGAGAGGAACGAAGGGAGCCAGCAAGGGGGCUGAGAGCCAGCUCUCUGUGGUUGAGUUUCGGGCAGCUGGGGCUGGCUUUAGAGUUUCACUGCCUGGGAACUGACUAAUUCUUGUAAGAGGUGUGGGACACAGAUCUGCAGUCUGUCACCCUGAAUUUGAAUUCCUGCCCCAUUCCUUCCUUAGCGUCGUGCUCUUAGGUUGCUGGACCUCUCUGAGCCUCAACUUACUCAUCUUUGAAAUGGGAAUGGCAAAAGUGACCUUUCCACUUACAAUGAGGAGUCAUUAAGGUGUUGGAUAGGGAGUCCUCUGAGGAGUGCAUAAUAGGUAUUUAAUAUAUUUUCACUGAUGGCGUUCCCUUCGUGGCUCAGUGGCUAACGAACCCAACUAGGAUCCAUGAGGAUGCGGGUUUGAUCCCUGGCCUCCCUCAGUGGGUUAAGGAUCCGGAGUUGCCGUGGGCUGUGGUGUAGGUCACAGACAUGGCUCCAAUCUGGCAUUUCUGUAGCUGUGGUGUAGGCAGGCAGCUGCCCCUUCAAUUCGACCCCUAGCCUGGGAACUCUCAUAUGCUGUGGAUGCAGCCAUAAAAAGCAAAAAUAUAUAUAUAAAUAUAUUUUUCCACUGAGAUUUGUGUGAGAUGGACCAGAGAGGCCUCAUAUGGAACUGAACUAAAAUAGUUGCCUUUUUUUUUUUUUUUUUUUUGUCUUUUUGCCAUUUCUCAAGCCGCUCCCACGGCAUAUGGAGGUUCUCAGGCUAGGGGUCGAAUCGGAGUUGUAGCCACCAGCCUACACCAGAGCCACAGCAACGCGGGACCCGAGCCGUGUCUGCAAACUACACCACAGCUCAUGGCAACGCCGGUUCCUUAACCCACCGAGCAAGGCCAGGGAUAGAACACGAAACCUCAUGGUUCCUAGUUGGAUUCAUUAACCACUGAACCACGAUGGGAACUCCUGCAAUUUUCUUUCUUUCUUUUUUGUCUUUUUUGUCUUUUUUUUUUUAGGGCCACACCUGUGACAUAUGUAAGUUCCCAGGCUAGGGGUUGAAUCAGAGCUGUAGCGGCCUGUCUACAUCACAGCCACAGCAACGCCAGAUGCGAGCCACACCUGUGACCUACACUGCAGCUUGGGGCAAUGACACUGAGCAGGGUAACCCACUGAGCAGGGCCAGGGAUUGAACCUGCAAUCUCAUGGAAACUAGAGGGGUUCCUUUCCACUGAGCCAUUCAUGCCCUAUACUCUUCUGUUUCCCAGGCUUGGCUUACAUGGCUCCAUAUCCACAAGGCCCCCUUCCUUCCUUCCAUCCCCAUGUGACAAGUCUUUUUUUUUUUUAAUUUUUUUUUUUUUUUUUUUUUUUUUUUCUUUUUGGGGCCACACCCACGGCAUAUGGAGGUUCCCAGGCUAAGGGUCCAAUCAGAGCUCUAGCCGCUGGCCUAUGCCACAGGUACAUCAACUCCGGAUCCAAGGCGUGCCUGCGACCUACACCACAUCUCACAGCAAUGCCAGAUCCUUAACCCACUGAUCAAGGCCAGGGAUCAAAACUGCGUUCUCAUGGAUACUAGUCAGAUUUGUUCUGCCGAGCCACAACAGGAACUCCUCCAUGUGACAAAUCUUACCCAUCCUUCAAGGCCCAACUCAAAUGGCAGAAUGGCAGGAGUAGCGUCGAAAGUCAGACCUCCAAUAAAACUUCAAACCCUUUGGGAGCAGGACCCAUGCUUUGUUUUCACCUUCAUGCCCUCCUCUCCGAGAAGGCCAGGGACACAGUAGGCCCGCAGUAAGUGAUGAUGGAGAUAAGAGCUUACAUUUCCUGAGCGCUUCCUCAGUGUAAAGCACCAGCCUGGCAUUUACAUGCAUUCGUUAUAUUGAAACCUCCCAACUGGCCUACAACGUAGGUACAUUGAGGAAACUGAGUCUCAGAUAUGUAAGGGACUUCACCAAGGGCUGGCUAAAGAUGAAACCAGAAUCUGCACUCAGAUCUCUGAGCUAUUUUGGACAUAGAACUCAGCCCCAGAACCAAUCCCAUUGAAGGAGGGUAUGGUAUGUUCUGCCAGUGAAGCAGAGGUUCCAGUGCUGCAGACAUUGUUGGGGCUGGGAAGAGUGUGCCCACAGCUGGAUAUGUUAGGGGUGCUUUGUCCCAUUUUCCAGAUGAGGAAGCUGAGGCAUGAGGGACGUUAAUUGAAGCUGCACAGCUGGUAAGGGAGGGAGCCCCUGUUCUAGACAGACCCCAAUGCCCUGGAAAAGCCCCCAAACCAAAGCAAACUUGCAUCCCAGCUGGUGUACCUUGUGCCUGGUGUAUCUGCUAAAAAUGCCUCUGAUUCCCUCGAUUCAAAGUCCUACUUAUUAAAUACAAAAUGCUUGAUAGUAGCUUCCUGAAAGCACAGACCUCUUGUUUUGGGGCUCCCCACUGUGGUGUCCGUUCACAAAAAUUCAAAAUAAGACGGAGCUGUGGGAGGAAGAGAGGAAAAUGUCUGCUCCAUCGUCUUUGUGCUUCUCUGUACAGUCUUUUCCAACCUUUUUUUUUUUUUUUUUUUUUNNNNNNNNNNNNNNNNNNNNNNNNNNNNNNNNNNNNNNNNNNNNNNNNNNNNNNNNNNNNNNNNNNNNNNNNNNNNNNNNNNNNNNNNNNNNNNNNNNNNNNNNNNNNNNNNNNNNACGUGGGAUCUGAGCCGCAUCUGUGACCUACACCACAGCUCACGGCAACACCAUAUCCUUAACCCACUGAGCAAGGCCAGGGAUCAAACCCGCAACCUUGAGGUUCCUAGUCGGAUUCGUUAACCACUGCGCCAUGACGGGAACUCCUUUUCCAACCAUUCUAAAGUAAGCAUGUAUUGGAGUUCCCAUUGUGGCUCAAUGGUAAUGAACCCGAAUAGUAUCCAUGAGGAUAUAGGUUUGAUCCCUGGCAUCCACCAUUGCUGUGAGCUGUGGUGUAGGUUGCAGACAUGGUUCGGAUCCUACAUUGCUGUGGCUGUGGUAUAAGCUGGAAGCUGCAGCUCCAAUUCAACCUCUAGCCUGGAAACUAUACGCCGCAGGUGUGGCCCUAAAAAGUAAAAAAUAAAGUAUUACCUCAGCAGUUGGA
rnacentral:lncRNA from 1 species